rnacentral:rRNA from 1 species
UCGAUUUGGAGUUUGUUGCCUAGAGUGAUGGGCUCCGAAGCUAACGCGAUAAAUCGACCGCCUGGGGAGUACGGCCGCAAGGUUAAAACUCAAAUGAAUUGACGGGGGCCCGCACAAGCGGUGGAGCAUGUGGUUUAAUUCGAUGCAACGCGAAGAACCUUAUCUGGUCUUGACAUCCACAGAAUCUUUCAGAGAUGAGGGAGUGCCUUCGGGAACUGUGAGACAGGUGCUGCAUGGCUGUCGUCAGCUCGUGUUGUGAAAUGUUGGGUUAAGUCCCGCAACGAGCGCAACCCUUAUCCUUUGUUGCCAGCGAUUAGGUCGGGAACUCAAAGGAGACUGCCGUUGAUAAAACGGAGGAAGGUGGGGACGACGUCAAGUCAUCAUGGCCCUUACGACCAGGGCUACACACGUGCUACAAUGGCGUAUACAAAGGGAAGCGAAGGUGCGAGCUGGAGCGGACCUCCUAAAGUACGUCUAAGUCCGGAUUGGAGUCUGCAACUCGACUCCAUGAAGUCGGAAUCGCUAGUAAUCGUGAAUCAGAAUGUCACGGUGAAUACGUUCCCGGGCCU